rnacentral:tRNA from 1 species
GCGUUGGUGGUGUAAGGCGAGCAUCGCUGCCAGGAAAGCGGAAGGUGUGGGUUCGAGUCCCGCCUGGGGCA